rnacentral:rRNA from 1 species
CACGUAGGGCGCAAGCGUUGUCCGGAAUUAUUGGGCGUAAAGAGCUCGUAGGCGGUCUGUUGCGUCCGCUGUGAAAACCCGGGGCUUAACCCCUGGCUUGCAGUGGAUACGGACAGACUAGAGGUAGGUAGGGGAGAAUGGAAUUCCCGGUGUAGCGGUGAAAUGCGCAGAUAUCGGGAGGAACAUCAGUGGCGAAGGCGGCCUUCUGGUCCAGUACUGACACUCAAGUGCGAAAGCGUGGGGAGCAAACAGG